GAUGAACGCUAGCGGCAGGCUUAAUACAUGCAAGUCGUGGGGCAGCAGGUUUGUAGCAAUACAGAUGCUGGCGACCGGCAAACGGGUGCGGAACACGUACAGAACCUUCCUUUGAGCGGGGAAUAGCCCAGAGAAAUUUGGAUUAAUACCCCAUAGUAUAAUGAAGUGGCAUCACUUUAUUAUUAAAGAUUUAUCACUCGAAGAUGGCUGUGCGGCUGAUUAGGUAGUUGGCGGGGUAAAGGCCCACCAAGCCUGCGAUCAGUAACUGGUGUGAGAGCACGACCAGUCACACGGGCACUGAGACACGGGCCCGACUCCUACGGGAGGCAGCAGUAAGGAAUAUUGGUCAAUGGAGGCAACUCUGAACCAGCCAUGCCGCGUGGAGGAUGAAGGUCCUCUGGGAUUGUAAACUUCUUUUAUAUGGGACGAAAAAAGGCUUUUCUAAGUCGUCUGACGGUACCAUAUGAAUAAGCACCGG
rnacentral:rRNA from 1 species